CCUACGGGAGGCAGCAGUGGGGAAUAUUGCACAAUGGGGGAAACCCUGAUGCAGCGACGCCGCGUGAGCGAUGAAGUAUUUCGGUAUGUAAAGCUCUAUCAGCAGGGAAGAAGAUGACGGUACCUGCCUAAGAAGCCCCGGCUAACUACGUGCCAGCAUCCGCGGUAAUACGUAGGGGGCAAGCGUUAUCCGGAUUCACUGGGCGUAAAGGGAGCGCAGGCGGCAUGGCAAGUCUGAUGUGAAAACCCGGGGCCCAACCCCGGGAGUGCAUUGGAAACUGCCAGGCUGGAGUGUCGGAGGGGUAAGCGGAAUUCCUGGUGUAGCGGUGAAAUGCGUAGAUAUUAGGAGGAACAUCAGUGGCGAAGGCGACUAUCUGGCACAUAACUGACGCUGAGGAGCGAAAGCGUGGGUAGCAAACAGGAUUAGAUACCCCAGUAGUC
rnacentral:rRNA from 1 species